AACAUUUCCCAGUACGCGUUUAUAUGCAUUUCCCUUUCACAAACACACAUGAAUGCACACACGUACAAAUCAUAGAAGCUUAGGGGUUCAGAAACAAAUAUUUAUGGACUUUAGGCCUUCAUUAUAGUUUAUUGACAAUUGAAAAUAACCAAGUUUAAUACUAAUUUAUAUGUGUUGACAUUUUUGUAACUUUGAACCCACUAUGCUUUCCAGCAUGAUUAGCAAGCCGACAUCUGCUACAUCUUCAAAGGGACUCUUAAAAAUCGAAAGUUUACAGUGGUGCUUAAAACAAUCAAUACAAAGUAGGUGGUUCUGAGAAUGUCUAUAAAUAGUGUCAAUUGCUUGGCUUCCAAUGCAUUUGAUUGUUCUCCAAGCAGUGUGGGAACAGGGUAUAAACUGCCCACUUUCAGUUAAAAUAACUAAAAUUGAUUAAUUGGUGUAAUGCUAGUUUUUUUUUUUUGUGGGGGAUAUACAAUAUAUAUUUUAAGUAUGUUCUUUCAAAUUAGUGAAUAUAAGUAUGUAUUUCCUAAAAAUCAGAACUUAAUCCAAAACAGGACAUGAUUUGGGGACAUGAAUUUUAUUAGAUGUUGCAUUAUAUUAGAUUUUUGUAGAAUGGCAAAUAUUUUAUUUAUAGCUACCAACUCAUAAAACAUUUGUUGUGGAACAGUGUUUGUCUAUAUGCCUGGCAUUGUAGAAUGACAGGUACACAGUGCACUUAAUAAACUGAAAGUUAAACUCUAAGUUACAUCUUACUCAAACUGAUUGUGCAUCAUAUUGUAAUUUUUCCUAGAUAUUCCAUCAUUGUGUUUUACUAUUCAUUUCUGUGUUACUGAGUUGUGUAUUUUAGUAUUUUCUUUAGAGUAGAAAAAAAUACUCUGUUGCAUCUCAAAGAUUAAGGAUAAUGUUGAACAAUUUAAAAGUCUCAAAACUAUAGAAUCUAUUUCUUGGAGUAGUAGAUUAAUUUUGGGGUAAGAACGCUUCGAAAUGAAGAUGCUUUAUUGUUGAAAGCCAUCAAUAAAUGAAAGGAAGAAUGUAAAUAAAAAUGGGAAUAUUUUCCAGUUCUGUGUAAAUCUCUAAAAUAUUUGAAAAGGAAAACCAUUAAGUGCAAGAUAUGACAAUAUAUAAGUUUUCCUUCAGAUUAGAAAUUUGAUGCUAAAUAUUUAACAUUUAAUCUUUAUUUAAUAGUAACUAUGAAUGGAGGCCAUUAUGUUGACACCCUGUAAGCUGAUUUCUACUCUUAAACUGAAAAAAAAAAAAAACAUGUUUUGUUCAUUACCCCUUUUCCCUCUGUGCUUGAAAACAUUGGCUUUUAUCACAACACUGGAAGUAUAUCGAAGCCAGGAGCCAGGAGCCUCCUCCAGGUCUCCCACGUGGGUGCAGGGGCCCAAGGACUUGAGCUGUCUUCUACUGCUUUCCUAGGCCACAGCAGAGAGCUGGAUUGGAAGUGGAGCAGCCAGGACUCAAACCGGUGCCCCUAUUGAAACCUUAAGUUUUAGCCUUCCCAAUAAAAAUAAAUCUCAGCAUCAUUUAAAAUGUUGGCUACUGCCAUUGAGUGAACACAAUGAAAUUUGACAAAACGCUUUACUUGGGUGUAAGAUACCAUUCUCUGAAUCAGGUUUUAUGAUUACCUAAGUCAUUUUUCAUCCUUGUUUUAUGAAUAUAAACAUCGAUACAUUUUCUUAGCUUCAGAUUUUGAACAUUCCAGUGAUGUAGCUCCUGCUAACGAAGUGCCUGAAUAUUUUGGUACCUCGUAGCCUUUAAUGUGUGAUAUCUGGUCAUAUACACAUGGGAUCUAUUAUAAGUUAGAGAUAGUUUCCAUAAAUAGAAUAAUAUUUUGGAUAACCACUGAUGAAUUGAAGAAUCUAUUUCCUCUUCAAAUUUUUUUUAUUUUAAGGCAAUUUUGUGAAAUUGAAUUUUACCUAUAGUUUUAUUUGUCUUUGUGUCCAGGUAAAGUAAUAAAUAAAAUAGCUCCAAUUAUACCAAGCACCUGCAUAUGUUUCUAACUCUACCGUUUGAGGUGAAAGUGUGGUUCCAGAACAGGAGGAUGAAGUGGAAGAGGGUAAAAUUGGGCCAGCUGGGCACUGCUGCCUGAGAAAAGGAACUGGUGAACGUGAAGAAAGGAACCCUGUUCCCUUCAGAGAUAUCAGGGAUCGGUGCAGCCAUGCUCCAGCAAACAGGGGACUCUCCGGACAAUGAAGACAGCCACAACAGCGACCACAGCUCAGAGCAUGCACACUUAUGAUCCACACAGACAGGACCAACUCCAUCCUCAGGAAAGAAGCACCGUGAUGGCAAGUCUUACCCAACAGAGUUUUCACAGAGAGAUGGCCAUGGCCAUGAUUUUUAAUAUUAUCAAAUUCAGGCAUCAUGGGUCUGUUUUGCAUGAUUUAUAGAGGAUUUAUACUAAGUGCCACUUAUCAAAGAUGCUUCCAUGAUGAAAAUCAGAAGGUGAAUUUUCUUUGAAUAGUCAGAGAUGUUUGGUUGUAUGUAUGACAGUGAGCAGGUAUGUUUGCCUUUGCUUGUACUGAAAAAUUAAAUGGGUACCCAAGAACAAAUUAUGACACAUUUCUACACGAGAUGCCUCCAGAGUGAAAUCGUUGAAGAUGAACUUGCUUUAAACUCUCAGCUGAUGAAAAUAGGCACUGAUAAUGCCAGCCAGGCCAGCUUCCUGCCUUUUUAUGCAUGUGUCAUUCUGAGACAAUCCAUAUGUGCUUACUUGUGUACAAGUAGAGAAACAUACAGUAGAUAGAGUCUGAUAUGACAUAUUCUUGUACCACAGACAAAACAAACAUUAUGUUGCAUUUACUAUCAACUGCUGCUAAUAAGUUUUUAUACAACUUACCUAGCUCCUCCUUGAUUCGUCCUAUCUUGUAGCUUGAAAAAAAAAUAGGAUCAUAGGCAAAUCAGUUACUUUGUGGAAAGAGCUUUGUUGUGGCAGACACUGUGAUUUUAUUUCUAUAAAAUUAAAGCUGUUAUGAAUAUGACUUAAUUAACAAGAAAAUGUUUCUUCCUUCUUAGAAAUGGUGUCAGACAAGGAGCAAAGCCAAAUGGGCUCCCCAAGGGGAUAGACAAAACAAUUCUGAAUGUCUUCAAAUUAAAUUCAGUAAAAACACA